ACAUGUUAAUUAGUUUGAUUCAGGUCUGCUGUAACCCUGUCACUGCUGGGUACUGCCUUAUUUGACUACACAUGUGUAUCUUUAUAUGGGAAAGGACAAGUUUUGGCUGCAGUAACAAAAAACAAAAAAACUCUGAUGCAUUUCAUCUAACCUAUACCACUCUGUCUGCAGGAUUUCCAGGUGUGCAGUCACAGAAGAGGACUGUAUGUGUUUAGCCACUGUUCUGGGAUCAGACACAUCCCGACUGAAAGUGCUAGAUCUAAGUCUGAAUGAGCCAGAGGACACAGGUGUGAAGAUGCUCUCUGAUGCCCUUCAGAACAGCAAACUCCAGUCAUUAAAACUGAGGGACUGUAAUCUGACUGAGAGAAGUUGCGAGGCUCUGGCCGUGGCCUUGUCCUCAGAGAUGUGUAGCCUGACAGAGCUGGACUUAAAGGAAAAUAAUUUAGAGGAUUCAGGCAUAAAGCAGCUGUGUUCUGCCAUUAAGUCUCUGCAGUGCAAACUGAGUUUGCUGUGCCUGUCAGACUGUCACAUCACAGAAGUUGGGAUCAUUGCUCUGGCCUCGUCUCUGAGAUCGAACCCAAGUCACCUGCGAGAUCUUGAUAUCAGUCGUAAUGAUCUUGGAGACACAGGGCUG